UACGUAGGGGGCAAGCGUUGUCCGGAUUUAUUGGGCGUAAAGAGCGUGUAGGCGGCCAUGCAGGUCAGCUGUGAAAACUCGAGGCUCAACCUCGAGACGUCGGUUGAAACCGCAUGGCUAGAGUCCGGAAGAGGAGAGUGGAAUUCCCGGUGUAGCGGUGAAAUGCGCAGAUAUCGGGAAGAACACCCGUGGCGAAGGCGGCUCUCUGGGACGGUACUGGACGCUGAGACGCGAAAAGCGUGGGGGAGCGGAAACAGGGAUU
rnacentral:rRNA from 1 species